rnacentral:lncRNA from 1 species
GUUUUAGGUGACAAAACCACGAUAUGAUUAUGAGACACGCCACAAUGAGGGACUCCAAAUUAACUUUGAGUAGCUGGGGUUCUUUAACGUGCACCCAAUGCACAGU